UACAGAGGGGGCAAGCGUUGUUCGGAAUUACUGGGCGUAAAGGGCGCGUAGGCGGCCCGCUAAGUCGAACGUGAAAUCCCCAGGCUCAACCUGGGAACUGCGUCCGAUACUGGCAGGCUUGAAUCCGGGAGAGGGAUGCGGAAUUCCAGGUGUAGCGGUGAAAUGCGUAGAUAUCUGGAGGAACACCGGUGGCGAAGGCGGCAUCCUGGACCGGCAUUGACGCUGAGGCGCGAAAGCCAGGGGAGCAAACGGG
rnacentral:rRNA from 1 species